CAGUCGCCGCGGUAAUACGUAGGUCCCGAGCGUUGUCCGGAUUUAUUGGGCGUAAAGCGAGCGCAGGCGGUUAGAUAAGUCUGAAGUUAAAGGCUGUGGUUUAACCAUAGUACGCUUUGGAAACUGUUUAACUUGAGUGCAAGAGGGGAGAGUGGAAUUCCAUGUGUAGCGGCGAAAUGCGUAGAUAUAUGGAGGAACACCGGUGGCGGAAGCGGCUCUCUGGCUUGUAACUGACGCUGAGGCUCGAAAGCGUGGGGAGCAAACAGGAUUAGAUACCCCAGUAGUCCCUGUCUCUUAUACA
rnacentral:rRNA from 1 species